CUGAGAUAGUCAAGAAAGAAAAUACACAAGAACUAUUUCCCCCCCUUCUCGAAGGGCACUUCUUGUUUGAGGGCCUGAGACUGCUGCAUGACUAGCUGCAUGCAAUACCCAGGAUGGUGGAAUUGAAAAUAACCUUUUUUUUUUUUGGAGAGGGUGUUUUAUUGUUUUUCCCCUCCCAAAGGAAACAGUUGUCAAUAAUUUGGUAUAAUCUCUUCGAAAGACCGGGGCCACCUGUAUAGAUAGAUCUCUUUGCAAGGCUACAUGAAGAUUCAAAGAAAGAAUGCUAAGGAUUAUUUCUCCUCAAAUUCAAAACAGAUAGAUCUUUAUGCGGUGGAGAACGAAGGUGAAUUUUAAAGCCAGAAAAUAUUGUUUUGGUAAAAUGAUAUCUUGGCAAUUAAAAUUGCUUCCAACGGGCCUGAGUCUGUUCUUGUGGAUGCUGGGAGAUACAGAUGCUAUUCCCUAUGGGAAGGUUUUCUUGAUACCGAAGAGCUGAAUGGUUUGUCCACAUCCAGUCAAGUUCCCAUGCUUCCUGCGGCAUUUACAUCUUUGCUGGCACAUUCAAGGGGGAAAUAAGCAAACACUAGUCCUCAAAAUCCAAUGGCAAGGCAAAAGUUUAAAAGCUAGCAAUGACCUGGGAAGCAUUGGAAGACUGUACUGUUUUUGAUGUCUGACUGAGCUCUAGGAUUACUAAACUAGCACAUGAAGAGAAAAUUAUCUUGCAUCUAGAACAUGUAAUCAAGGAAUCAAAUUCAAUCUGUGCAAGAAGCAAUUUCUGACUGAAAUCAGAUGCAAAGUGAGAUCAGGGAAGAUGCAGAAGAAAAACCUCAAGAUUUCACUCAGAGAAUCUGAAGCUUGGGAUCUCCAACUGUUCUCGUCACUUCUUCCAGGGGAGCCAGGGGGUAGCUGGCUCUCUUGCUAAGAAGAAGCUUGGGUCUCUCUGGAGAUCAUUGUUUCUCUGUGAACCCCUGAAUAUCUCCCACUCAGCUCUCAACAACAGCUCAGAGUCAUCAAUGAAUAUUGUGGACUUGAAGAAAGCUGUCCACUGAGAUCUCAUUCUCCAUCUCUCUCCCUAACUUGUCCUGGACGCCAAGACUCAAGCUAGUUAGCUCAGGAGUAGGGACCAAACCAGCAACUGGCCAGAAGAGGGGUCAAGGCUGAGACCCUGAACCCCGAGACCUUGGGAGGGUCUGUCUGCUAGUCAAUAGGGCUUCCUGCUCACCCACUUUCCUUACCUGACACCCUUACCCCUCUCCCUUCCCUAUGUGAACCCAAAUAAAGUAUCUACUACUUAGAAUCAGGUUUGACUAGUUUCUGAGACUAGGAAAGGGGGCUGAAGAUUUGGGGAGACCCAUAUCUCUCCCCAAAAGGAGGGUUAGCUCAGGAUCCCAAGGAUCAAAACAACCAGACCCAAGGAGCAACCAUUUCUCUUGGGCUGUGGAGUAAUCCAAAGUCUGGGGGAGGAUGUGGCAGUUGCUGUACCUGAAGGAUCCAGAGGCAGAAGAGUCCAUCCUGCCUCUCAACAAUAGCUGGGACCAAAAAGGGGAGGCAGU